rnacentral:rRNA from 1 species
CAGCAGCCGCGGUAAUACGUAGGUCCCGAGCGUUGUCCGGAUUUAUUGGGCGUAAAGCGAGCGCAGGCGGUUAGAUAAGUCUGAAGUUAAAGGCUGUGGCUUAACCAUAGUACGCUUUGGAAACUGUUUAACUUGAGUGCAAGAGGGGAGAGUGGAAUUCCAUGUGUAGCGGUGAAAUGCGUAGAUAUAUGGAGGAACACCGGUGGCGAAAGCGGCUCUCUGGCUUGUAACUGACGCUGAGGCUCGAAAGCGUGGGGAGCAAACAGGAUUAGAUACCCCCGUAGUCCCUGUCUCUUUACAC